rnacentral:rRNA from 1 species
AUGGAGAGCGGGGCACAGACCAUUUUAAUCAAUGUUGGGCAGCUGGUCGGCCAGGAGUUCUGGCAACUCCGCGCCGUCGGCGGCGAGAUAGCAGAGCUGAAGGAGGAGCUGGCCACCAUGAACACCCUCCUACGCAUGCAGUCUGAAACCAAUGAAAGUGGCCUGUGCCACUUCGUCCGGGAGUGGAUGAAGCAACUCCGGGAGCUCGCGUACGACGCCGAGGACUGCGUCGACCUCUACCUGUUUCGCAUCAGGUGCCGGCAGGGCGACGGCUUCCUCGUCUGGUCCAAGCGCCUGCUUGCAACGCUUUUCCCUCGCCAUCGCCUCGCCGGCGAGAUCACGGCCCUCCGCCUCCGUGCUGUUUCCAUCAGCGAGCGCCAUGCUCGUUACGUCGUCAGCCUCGACUUGCUGGGCGGCGCUGCUUCUUCUGCCCCUGCCCCUUUGGAGGCAGUGGCAGCGUCAGCAAGUGCGCUCCACCUUAACAACAAGGACCCCAACCAGUUGGUCGGCAUCAAGGCCCAGGCUGAGCAACUGGCCAACAAGGUGAAGGCCGGCGAAGGUGAGAGGCUCAAGGUGUUCUCCAUCGUUGGGUUCGGAGGGCUCGGGAAGACCACCCUGGCCAUGGAGGUGUGCCGGCUGCUGGAGACGGAGUUCCCACGCCAGGCCAAAGUGUCCGCGUCGCAGACAUUUGGCAGUGGCAGCCAAGACAUCGAAGGAUUACUGAAGCGCCUGCUUCGGCAGAUUAUGCAGUUUCAGUCUGAGCCCGUUGCUAGCCAGCAAUCCGAGCAAGCCUCGGAGGGCGCGCGCCUGCAGUGCGAGGAAACAACGGAACCGGAUAAACUUAAGCGCGCGGCCGAGGCAGCCGCCAAGCUAGUGGAGCUUCUUGGUAAAAUUGACCGCAUGAAUUUAGGCGAGCUACAAGGCAUGCUCGAAAAGAGUCUCCGGAAUAACAGAUACCUCCUUUUGAUUGAUGAUGUAUGGAGCAAAGUAGCUUGGAAUGCAAUCUGGUCCAUGUUACCAAGCAACGGUUUUAGCAGUAGAAUCAUUGUGACCACUCGGAUAGAUAGUGUGGCGAAAGCUUGCAGUACUACUGGUGAUGAUUACAUCCAUCAUAUGAAGGCCCUAGAAGAGAAAGAGUCCAAUCAAUUGUUCCUGAGCAAAGCAUUUGGCUCAACAAAUGAAGACUCUUGCCCGAAUGAUUUGAAAAAUGCAAUGAAAAAAAUCUUAAAAAAAUGUGGCGGCCUACCAUUAGCCAUUGUUAGCAUUGCAAAGCUAUUGGCAAGCUAUACACAUCCAGAAGGAAAGAAGAUGUGGGAAAUAGUUGGAAGAUCAAUUGGUUCACAGAUGGAAAGCGACCCAACCCUCAAGGGGAUGAGGCAGAUACUCACACUUAGCUAUGACCACCUACCCUAUCACCUCAAGGGUUGCAUGAUGUACCUUAGCAUUUUCCCAGAGGAUUAUGUGAUAUCCAAGGAUCGGUUGUUGAAGAGAUGGAUCGCUGAAGGAAUGAUUCCUAAGAAGCGAGGGAUGACCCAAAUGGAGGUUGCAGAAGACUACUUCAAUGAGCUACUAAGUAGAAGCAUGAUUGACCGAGGCACCGAUAUAGUCACCAUGUACCAUUGGAGGGAAGAGACGUGCCGAGUGCAUGACAUAAUACUUGAGGUCCUUGUGUCUAAAUCCCUAGAGUUCAACUUUGUUAGCUUAAUAGGUGGGCAAUAUGAAGGGAUGUUGUAUGGUAGGAUUCGCCGUCUCACCGUACAUGGCGGAGAGGCACCCCAAGACUCUUCACCAAAUAGAAUGGCAGUGUACCCUGGUACAAGGAACGACAUCAAGGAGAUGACUCUGCAGCAUGUCCGGUCACUGAGCAUAUUUGAUCCAGAAGCGCACAGGCUGCUUGCUCGGCUAGGAGAUUUUACCUUGCUAAGGGUACUUGAUCUGGAAGACUGCAAAGGCCUAGAAGAAAAACAUAUGAGGCAUAUCUGCCAGAUGUAUCUUCUAAGGUUCUUGAGCUUGAAGGGUACAGCUAUCAAAGUGAUGCCAUCGAGAAUUGGUGAUCUCGAGCAUUUGCAGACCCUUGAUGUACGUCAAACACAGCUGAAGUGUCUGCCUGCAAGAAUUGGUGAUCUCAAACAUUUGCAGACCCUUGAUGUACGUCAAACACAACUGGAGAGUCUGCCAGAAACAGUCACAAAGCUAGAGAAGCUGGAGUACCUGCUAUUCUCCACCAAAGGCAAUAAUUGGUCUGGGUGGAUGCUGCCCAAAGGGAUCAGGAAAAUGAAGGCACUACGCCAUGUGAAUAAAGCGGUUGUGAUACACGACCCAAAUGUUGCCAAGGAGAUUGGUGAAUUAGAUCAAUUGGAAGAGUUAUGUAUCUAUGUUGAUACAAGAGAGAAUAUCCACGAGGAUGUUCCCAUAGAGCUUGCCUGCUCCCUGAGCAAGAUAUACUCCCUCCAGUGGCUCGAGAUUGGAAAUUUUGCUUGCUAUAAAUGGCCUUUCCAACAGGCAUUGCAAUUUCUCCAUGACGUACAGCAGCCACCACAGCUGCUCCGUUACCUUAGGAUCUGCGGCUGCAUUGAGAAAUUGCCAGACUGGGUGGGGUCACUCAUUAACCUUAUUGAGUUGGACAUAUCAUGGUCAUACCUUCAUGGUAAGCAAUUAUUCAGCGUCCUGUGUAAGUUGCCCAACCUACAGAGGCUGACCCUGGGGUCAUACUUCAUAAGAAAGAAUCAAGAUAUGGUUGCAUGCAAUAGCCAGUCCUUUCCGGAGCUCAAGGAACUUACCCUGGGCUAUUCUCCUGAAGUCCCCCCAAAUUAUAUAUUUGAGGAAGGGUGCAUGCCAAAGCUGGAGACGCUUGUGCUGAAUUUUGGUGACCAGGGGAAGACAAUUGUUGGCAUUGAGCACUUGACGAACCUUAGAGAGGUGCAGAUCGAUAAUUGCAUCAAAGAUUCACUGGCUACUUCACUAGAAAUUUUCAAGGUGGAGAAUGAGAAGCGAUCACAUGUUCCUGGGUCUGAACAGAUCAGAGUUAUAGUGAGGUAG